GUAAACCCAAGGUUUCCAGGGGAAGGUUCGUCCGCCCUGGGUUAGUCGGGACCUAAGCUGAGGCCGAAAGGCGUAGGUGAUGGACAACAGGUUGAUAUUCCUGUACUACCGAUAACCGUUUGAGUGAGGGGAUGACACAGUAGGAUAAGCUAAGCACACUGUUGGUUAUGUGUGCCCAAGCAUUGAGGCAGUCAAAGUAGGCAAAUCCGCUUUGAUAAUGCUGGG
rnacentral:rRNA from 1 species